rnacentral:rRNA from 1 species
AGCGAACGCUGGCGGCAGGCCUAACACAUGCAAGUCGAGCGGCCGUAGCAAUACGGCAGCGGCAGACGGGAUAGUAACACGUGGGAACGCGCCCUUCGGUUCGGAAUAACUCAGGGAAACUUGAGCUAAUACCGGAUACGCCCUUACGGGGAAAGGAUUAUUGCGAAGGAACGGACCCGCCGUCGGAUUAGUCUAGUUGGUGAGGUAAUGGCUCACCAAGGCGACGAUCCGUAGCUGGUCUGAGAGGAUGACCAGCAUCACUGGGACUGAGACACGGCCCAGACUCCUACGGGA